GAGAAGCUUGCUUCUCUGAUGUUAGCGGCGGACGGGUGAGUAACACGUGGAUAACCUACCUAUAAGACUGGGAUAACUUCGGGAAACCGGAGCUAAUACCGGAUAAUAUUUUGAACCGCAUGGUUCAAAAGUGAAAGACGGUCUUGCUGUCACUUAUAGAUGGAUCCGCGCUGCAUUAGCUAGUUGGUAAGGUAACGGCUUACCAAGGCAACGAUGCAUAGCCGACCUGAGAGGGUGAUCGGCCACACUGGAACUGAGACACGGUCCAGACUCCUACGGGAGGCAGCAGUAGGGAAUCUUCCGCAAUGGGCGAAAGCCUGACGGAGCAACGCCGCGUGAGUGAUGAAGGUCUUCGGAUCGUAAAACUCUGUUAUUAGGGAAGAACAUAUGUGUAAGUAACUGUGCACAUCUUGACGGUACCUAAUCAGAAAGCCACGGCUAACUACGUGCCAGCAGCCGCGGUAAUACGUAGGUGGCAAGCGUUAUCCGGAAUUAUUGGGCGUAAAGCGCGCGUAGGCGGUUUUUUAAGUCUGAUGUGAAAGCCCACGGCUCAACCGUGGAGGGUCAUUGGAAACUGGAAAACUUGAGUGCAGAAGAGGAAAGUGGAAUUCCAUGUGUAGCGGUGAAAUGCGCAGAGAUAUGGAGGAACACCAGUGGCGAAGGCGACUUUCUGGUCUGUAACUGACGCUGAUGUGCGAAAGCGUGGGGAUCAAACAGGAUUAGAUACCCUGGUAGUCCACGCCGUAAACGAUGAGUGCUAAGUGUUAGGGGGUUUCCGCCCCUUAGUGCUGCAGCUAACGCAUUAAGCACUCCGCCUGGGGAGUACGACCGCAAGGUUGAAACUCAAAGGAAUUGACGGGGACCCGCACAAGCGGUGGAGCAUGUGGUUUAAUUCGAAGCAACGCGAAGAACCUUACCAAAUCUUGACAUCCUUUGACAACUCUAGAGAUAGAGCUUUCCCCUUCGGGGGACAAAGUGACAGGUGGUGCAUGGUUGUCGUCAGCUCGUGUCGUGAGAUGUUGGGUUAAGUCCCGCAACGAGCGCAACCCUUAAGCUUAGUUGCCAUCAUUAAGUUGGGCACUCUAAGUUGACUGCCGGUGACAAACCGGAGGAAGGUGGGGAUGACGUCAAAUCAUCAUGCCCCUUAUGAUUUGGGCUACACACGUGCUACAAUGGACAAUACAAAGGGCAGCGAAACCGCGAGGUCAAGCAAAUCCCAUAAAGUUGUUCUCAGUUCGGAUUGUAGUCUGCAACUCGACUACAUGAAGCUGGAAUCGCUAGUAAUCGUAGAUCAGCAUGCUACGGUGAAUACGUUCCCGGGUCUUGUACACACCGCCCGUCACACCACGAGAGUUUGUAACACCCGAAGCCGGUGGAGUAACCUUUUAGGAGCUAGCCGUCGAAGGUGGGACAAAUGAUUGGGGUGAAGUCGUAACAAGGUAGCCGUAUCGGAAGGUGCGGCUGGAUCACCUCCUUUCUA
rnacentral:rRNA from 3 species